ACAUUUUCAGAUCUGGUAGCUCAGCGAGGCGAAAGAUUGGAAUUGUUAAUAGAUAAAACAGAAAAUCUUGUGGAUUCGUCUGUCACCUUCAAAACAACCAGCAGAAAUCUUGCCCGAGCCAUGUGCAUGAAGAAUCUCAAGCUCACUAUCAUCAUCAUCAUCAUAUCAGUUGUAUUCAUCUAUAUUAUUGUGUCACCUCUCUGUGGUGGAUUUACGUGGCCAAGCUGUGUGAAGAAAUAAAAAAGUUAUCAUUAACCAAGGAUAUGAGAGACCAAGGAGUUAAAAGCAAUCCGUGUAAUUCAGGCCUUUUAAUACUGAGAGAUGGUGUCUGCCAGUCUCUUCAACCUGCUUCUUUCUCUCUUUUUUGAAAUCUUGUUCCACACCUCCAGAUUUAUCUUUGUCCUGUCAACCUGUUUAUUUUAUUGCACUUCAGACUGAACCAUUUAUUGUAGCAGUAGCCUUAAAAAAAGCAUUGUGUUUCUUUGGUUUGUAAACUAGUGUCAUCUACUUGCAGAAACAUUUUGUUUGUAAUUGCACAAAGCUAUCACCAAGGUAGAAACCACCUGUCUUAUGAGCUGUUGGCUAAAAUUUGGAUGACCUUUGUGCACACAAAAGUUGAAAAGACUGAUAGUGUUGCUAACAGCUUGUCUCAAUGUCUUUUGAUUUUGAAGGGUUUUAGGUGCUUGAAAACAAUGUUCAUGGAGAAUUGUUGUUAUUUGGGGAAUUGUAAUGCAAUUAUUGGUGUUUCAAGGAACCCAAGCAGGUAAAAUAUUGAUAUUAAACAGUUUAUCUCAGUCAGAAGGGGAAUGUUUUGCUAGCCUGUUAGAAGCACACAGAAUUAUCCUUAUCUCCAUAUUACUAACUUUUAGGAAGAGAGUUUUGAUCAUUCACAAACUUCACAAAGCUUGAUAUCCUCUCUUUCCCUGUUGCAGUUGAUUUCAGAAGAUGGUGGUUUAAAUAUUGUUGAAGGCUAGGGUUUAUUAUAUAUUCCUUUUCCUUUGGUGGAUGUUUAGGGCAAUUGUAUAGAUAAUAGAAUGGGCAAUAGAGGGCUUGAGUAGGCGCAUUCCUCUGAUUCACCAAAGAAAAAGAAGAGAACCAUAGCCAACGUGUUAACAUUUUCGCUUUAUGAAGGGAGGUAGUGCAGGAGAACUUUUUCAGCCUGGGAAAAGCCCAGGCUGAAUAUAAUCAAUGAUCAGUUCCGGGGUUUGGGUUUAACUGGUGUUGAACAAUAGUUUGAACAUCCUUUGUGGUUUAGUAAGUUCUUUAACCUGCCUAGUUUUGAAGAUUAUUUUUUGUGUAACUUAAGAGUAGACAGUAUGAUAUCUAGAAACAAUGUAAAGACAUUUUAGCUAACAUCCAUGUAACUGCAGUGUGAAAAAAACUGGAAUGUAAUCAUACUGCUUUGGCUACUCUGGCAUCUGUUAGCUAGUGUGUACUUUUGGUGUGUAUCUGAAAGGACAACAUUUGCUCUGUAGAUCUAAUUGCAUUUAUUUCUCAAUAAAGGCCAGUAAAUGGAAAUUAUAUUACAUUUGACUGUUUUCCCAAUGAAAGAACAAAUUUGUCUAUGAAACCUAGCCACCUGUUUAGCCUAGUCAUGUGCCUUGAAUAUAUAUAUAUAUAUAUAUAUAUAUAUAUAUAUGUCACAUAAUCUGGAUCCUGCUACCUGUUCUUCCAUCUAAACCUUUCAGUUCAUGCUGAUUCCUUUAUUUGACAUAAUGUUUUCAACCCACUGGAACCCUUUUCCUUGUGAUCAUGUAUAAUGGAAAUGUUUUUUCAGUUCUCUUGAUCAACACUAAUGUAUUUUCAUUCCAUUAGCAUUUUGUAUUGGAAAGCAUUUGUUCCAUGAAAACAUUUGGCGUUCUUAAUUUCAAAAUGUCUUUAAUUCAACGAAAAAGACUGAAAGCUCAUUUCCCUUUCUUAUACACACCUGAAUAAAAAUGAUGUGCAUGUUUCAGGGAUAAAUUCCUUAACCAUCUCUUGGUCUAUUUAUGUAUAGGAAUGCUUUUUGAAGCACAUACCUUAUUUUAAAUGAUGCACAAACUGAAGACAUUAAUAAAAAUUUAAGAGUAAUACAAUGA